UACGUAGGGUGCAAGCGUUAAUCGGAAUUACUGGGCGUAAGGCGUGCGCAGGCGGUUAUGUAAGACAGAUGUGAAAUGCCCGGGCUUAACCUGGGAACUGCAUUUGUGACUGCAUGGCUAGAGUUUGGCAGAGGGGGGUAGAAUUCCACGUGUAGCAGUGAAAUGCGUAGAUAUGUGGAGGAACACCGAUGGCGAAGGCAGCCCCCUGGGUCAAGACUGACGCUCAUGCACGAAAGCGUGGGGAGCAAACAGG
rnacentral:rRNA from 1 species